ensembl:lncRNA
AUCAUCCCCCUGCAGAGGCCAGCUCCAAGAGCAAGAUGCAGCACCCUUCAGACACCCUGGAGUUGACCAGGCUACUCCCAUUGAAGUUCGUGAAGCUAUCUGUCCACAACCGGGAAAAGCAGCAUCUUCGCCUGAAACUGGCCAGUGGGCGAUCCUUCUAUUUGCAGCUGUGCCCACCCUCCGAUGCCAGGGAGGAUCUCUUCUCCUUAUGGGAGAAGCUCAUCUACCUCCUUCGGCCACCUGUGGAGGGCUACAGCAGCACCCACGCCAUUCCUGCUGGGAAGGGUCGAGGUGCCUGUUUUCAGUGCGGAAGAGGAAUCUCCUGGACCCCAGCCCCAGGAGCCUAUUCCGCAUGAAGGGGAGCAGGAUAAAGUGAGCAUAAAGAGUCUUGACGUUCCUGGCCGGGAUAGGAUGUCAGUGCAGCCAGAAAUAAUCACGGCGGCUGCUGCUGAGGAGGGCUUCCCUAGUCCAGGAGGCACCGAGACGGAGCUGCUGCCCCCACACUACACCAUCCACGGGGUGCCCAGUGUGUCCCCUCCCAGUACCCGGUCUGUUACAACCGUUGCUAUGGCAGCUGCCGCCAGCAAGGGGCCUGCCAGUAACGCCAUGGCCGGGGCCCCCGCGGGAAUGGGGACAGCUACAGCAGGCAGCCAGGGGCCUGGCCUAAGUGUAGCCCUGGCUGGGACUACAACUGGGCAGGUAACAGAGACGGCAGGUAACACGUGGGCAAGCAGUGGGAGUCUAAUGCUGGCUGGCGCUGCCAGUAUGUCCUCAGGCACCAGCAGCCUGAUCCCCUCGGGCCACAUGAGCAUGGCCUCUGCUGGAGCCGGGAGCUUCGUUGUAGCCCGCCUAGGAAGCGUCACCCCCCUCGGGCCCGAGCGCCCCCUUGUGUCGACCUUGCACACUGAGGGCUACAUGAGUGAGCGGGACGGAAGUCAGAGGGUGGCCAUGGCCAGCCCCAAGGUGGCCAAAAAAGACACGUCAUCGAGGAGGCACUCCCGGCACCGGAAAGGCCAAGCUCGCAGACGAGCCAAGAGGGAAGGUGGCAGCGGCCAGAGGAGGUCAUCCCGGCAGGCUGCGACUUCCAAGGAGACUCAGAAAUCCAGCCGCCACAGCCCGUCUUCCCGCAAAGCCACCAGCCGCAGUCCCUCCGUAAAGGAUUCCAGUGCUUCCAGGACCUCUGACAAAGGAGGGAUGGAUAAAAGCUCAGCCAAGAAACACCCCUUCCACUGCCUCAGCUAAGAAACCCAGCCAUAUUGCCUCAUUCUUGGGAGGUUUCUCUCUCUCUAAGCAGAGUGCCAAAAGCACCUCAGUCCUCACAUGGGGGAUACAGCUAAGGCCACUAAAGCCUCAACCACAGAGAUCAACAGGAGCACCAUUGUGGAGAACGUGGAGCAUGUGGAGAUAGAGCUGGAGACUAUCACAGACAUGUUCUCACUGAUGGCGGUGGUGGAGGAGAAGCAGGGGGUGAAGGGGGAGGGAGGGUGUAAGGCAGAAGAUUAUUUACCAUUUUACUUAGUCGGGCCCUUUAAGCCUUGAAAAAUCAGAAAUUACUGCUUAAUCUUGCCCCAGACCUCUUUCCUCCUAAAUCUGAACAAUAGGGAAAUGUACUGUUGCAUAGCUUAGCACAGCCCUUACCUCCAAGGUAAAUGGAUAAGAAAGCUUGCCAUAUAAUCGCUUUAGAUAAUUAUGUUAAUACCGGAGACCAGCACACCUGGUUUGAUUUGGGUGAUCUCUGAUCUGUAAUGAUGGGGUGCUCGGGUCCUUGUGCUUGUGCCCCAAUUUCUCCCUAGUCUCAGAAACACUGUCUCUGACAACCACUCCCCAGCCCAAGGACACUGUGCCUAGCAGUUCUUCUUGCAUGGGCCUCAGAACGACCCUUAUCUCUCUCCCUGGUACAGCUACACAGAGCUGGGCUGCUCAGGCCCCAGCCCUCAGAUCAUGUCUCUGGAAGCCUCCCAGUUCCUUAGUAAGUUCCUGUGUUGUGAGAAAGCUUUCCCUUGUUGCAGAGCAUUCUUUCAUCAAGACAGAGGGAGAGGGGUGCUUUGGCCAGCCCAAGGAGUUUUGUCUUUGGCCAGCCCAAGGACUCUUCCUCCUGCCAGACUCCAAAGAUCCAUACCUCUGUUAUCUCCCUCACGGUCCGGUAUACUCCCUGUACUUUCCCAUCCAUAGCGCCCCCCCUCCCCCAAAGACACCUGCACCUUUGGAUUACCUCAUCCUUCUCCCUGGCAUUUCUUUCCCAUGCUCUUUUCCAUAUAAACCCUAGCUCGACCCCUGAUUGGGGCUGCUUGAUUUGGGUGUGCAUACCCCUUGCAGAUGUGCUCUUUAAUAAACCUCCACAUUAAAUUUCUGAUUGGGUCUCU